UACGGGGGGGGCAAGCGUUGUUCGGAAUUACUGGGCGUAAAGGGCUCGUAGGCGGCCAACUAAGUCAGACGUGAAAUCCCUCGGCUUAACCGGGGAACUGCGUCUGAUACUGGAUGGCUUGAGAUUGGGAGAGGGAUGCGGAAUUCCAGGUGUAGCGGUGAAAUGCAUAGAUAUGACACAGAACACCGAUUGCGAAGGCAGCUGACGAAACUGCAACUGACGCUGAUGCACGAAAGUGCGGGGAUCAAACAGG
rnacentral:rRNA from 1 species